ACAGUUUUGGUCCUAGACUUACCGUUGUUUUUUAUCAAAAUUAUACAUGCUAGCCUCUGCGCACCAGUGAAAAUGCCCAAAACCCCCAAAAAGAAUUAUUGGAGCAGACAUCAGGCACUACAACUUAGGCCCAUGACGCCUUGCUAAGCCACACCCCCACGGGUUACAGCAGUAAUAAACAUUGGGCCAUAAGUGAAAACUUGACCCAGUUAUGAUAAACAGGGCUGGUUAAUUUCGUGCCAGCCACCGCGGUUAUACGAAAAGCCCAAAACAACGACAGAUCGGCGUAAAAUGUGACUAGAGACUUAUAAUAUUUUUAACAAUUUAAACCCCUAAUUCAGUUGUAGAACACUUAGAUAGCGGAGAAAACCAACACAAAUAUUUUUAAUAUUAUAUCCUUGACCACACGAAAGCUUAGAAACAAACUAGGAUUAGAUACCCUACUAUGCUAAGCCCUGAACAUAGAUAGCUCCUUUAUACAACGCUUUCCGCCAGAGAAUUACAAGUGAAAAACUUGAAACUCAAAGGACUUGACGGUGUCCCACAUCGACCUAGAGGAGCCUGUCCUAUAAUCGAUACCCCCCGUUCCACCCAACCUCAACUAGCAAACUUCAGCCUAUAUACCGCCGUCGACAGCCUACCCUAUGAAGGUCUAAAAGUAGACAUAAUAGCCCCCCGCUAGCACGUCAGGUCAAGGUGUAGCAAAUGUUGAGGAAGAGAUUGGCUACAUUUUUUAACAUAAAAAAUCACGAAAAGCAUUAUGAAACCGUGCAUGAAGGUGAAUUUAGUAGUAAAAUGGAUAAGAGUGCCCAUUUUAACAUCGCUCUGGGACGCGUACACACCGCCCGUCACCCUCCUCGACAACAAUUCAACCACUUAAUAAACCAAAAAAGUUUCCUAGAGGAGGCAAGUCGUAACAUGGUAAGCGUACCGGAAGGUGUGCUUGGACUAAC
rnacentral:ncRNA from 1 species